rnacentral:lncRNA from 1 species
GCUUGUGUUUUCUCUUACCUUACCCAGAGUUGUAUGUGAGGAAAUAAAGGCUUGAGAGAUCUUGAGGUGGCAGUUUACAGGAGGGUAAAAGGAAACAGGAGUUAGAAUAAACAAUGUUAGUAAAAACUUGGAUGCAAGAUUGACCUUAUGCAAUCUCUAAGGUACAUUGAAUUGAAUGAGGGAGAGAGUUCUAAACUGCUUGUUCUCAGUCUACUCCAGGUAAAGCUUACAAAACUGCCUGUUGGGUUCUUUCAUCGUUAUUGUUGCCACUGGAAGGGCUUUUACCACCACUUUUGAACUCUACAGCCUCCUGAAUAUAUCUGUCCAUCUAAGAAAAGGAUUAAAUUCAAGAUAACCCUUGUCAUCUGCAUGCUGCCACAUGGUUAGGAUGAAGACUGACACACGAGACAAGUGAUGUAUUAUCUUGAUUGCAAAGAAAGCAUCCAGACAACUUCCCAUUUCCUCCUUGCUUCACCCCGUGAACACAACUGCUUCUCUUCAGCAGCCCCAAAUGGAAAUUAUUCAGUGUCUUAUGUGAAAUUGAAAAUAUUUUUAAAAAGACAAUUGCAAUGUUAGUGUAUUGUGGAUGAUACUCUACAAGAAAAGCCUGAGCAAUGUUGGUUUAUCCAAAACUACAAAACCAGCUCCCUAUUUUCCAUGCUUGAGGUGUUAAAUGUAAACUCUCACUCAGAGCAGACACCAGCUGGAAUGCUCUGAGCCACGCAGAAUCCCAGAAAUGUCUCGAUUAAGGAGUGUCACAGCCACAGAGGGGCACAUCAACCUGAUACAAGAGAAAUGGAGCGAGGAGAGGUUAAAUCACAGAAUUUGGAAAGAAAAAGGGCAUCCAACAGCCUUAAAGAUGAAGAAAUGGAAGCUCCAGAGUUGAAGAAAUGUGUCUUCACUCCCACAAGUAAUCUUGAAGUUCCGAGCCACCAUGAGAGUUUUCCUGACACUGAGGUAAUUUCCUACCAUGUUGACACCACCUUGCGCCAGUGUUCAAGACCAUCACAGCUAUGAACCUUGUUGGCUUGUAUCAGAUGCCUGCUGGGACCUUGGCUGCCCAUAGUGCUCUCUAAAGACUCCAGCUUUCCAUAACUCCUACAGUUUUAAGUUCAAGGAAUGAUGAAGAGGACGCCAAUGUACGGAUUUGAUUUACCAAAUCAGGCCUGUACAGCAGCUGAAUCAACCUAUGGGAAAAUUUUGGCUCUCUUUAACAUUCUAAUUUUUGAGAACACCAUUGCAAAUACAUGAUUUCCAAAAUAAUAACAAUGCACUUAAUUAAUCACAUUAUAGAUCAUCAUAUAAAAAUAAAUACCUAAAUAGAAAUACAAUUUAUUUUUUUCUUAAAUUCCAAAUUGCAUAGAGCUGCCUCCUCUGCAGUUUUCCAUCACUGCCUCCUUCUCAGACUUCUCCUUUUGUUUUUUCAUUUCUUUGUACAGACUCCAGUCAUUUGUUUAAAUAUUCAUACUCAACCAGAAUACGUUUCCUAAUGUGGGAAUCAUUGCUUAUUCACAGGCACAGCCCUUGACAUCCUGAAAACAUGUAGUAAUGAUUUUUGGAAUAAAGGUUUGACACUUCUACAUUUACAUGUAAAUGGAGUUAAAAAAUUCUAGGUUGAGAAUAAGAAUACUAUAAAAAUUUUGAUCUAAAAUGGAUGUUAGAGAUAACCCAGCGCAACCAGUUGCUCUUACAAUUGAGGAAACUGAGGUCAAGAAUGAGUGAGUGGCUCAGAGUCACCCAGCUCAUUAGAGCCUGAAUGAACCACCUUGGUUCACUACCUCUGUUCACCGCCCUUUCUAGUGCACUUCAUGAAAUCACUCUCUAAGUACACAUCAACUCAUUUAGAUACUUAAAUGAUUCUUGAGAAAGUAGAAAGUAUAAAUGCCUUGACCACACAUAAGAACUUUGACAUAUUUCACUCUCUGUACUGAAAUUUCUAACAAUGCCUGGUACAUAAUAGGUAUUCAGUUGAUUUGGGUUUCUACAUCCCUUUUCUCCUUCUCUUCUUCAAGUUUGCAUGUAAACCACAUUAAAGACUGCUAAUAUAUAAAGUAGGCACCAUCUCAUGAAUCAAAGAGGGGAUUCCUAGAGCCACUGAGGAUGUCUUUAGAAGCCAGUGGUGCUGAUCCCACAGCUACUCUCCUGUGGACAGUGGAAGUGCUCCCCAAAGUACAUUCUUAGGGGAAAUGGGGCUGCCGCCAUGAGGAGGUGUCAAUAGAGAUUAGAGAUGGUCUUUGUGCUGUGAGAGAGACCUCACAUUUCCAAAUGCCAAGUCCUUUCUUCCUCAGUCAAAUGUACCCCCUAGAACAUAGAUACCUACUAAGCUGUAGAUUUUUGAGGGGAUACAGAGCUGAAUCCAUAAGAUAGUGGAUUAUUCAGAUAAGAAUUUCUGUAGAUAGAGAGUUUCCAAUCAAUUAUGUACCCCAACAAUGUGAGGUCAACUACUUAGACUACCUCUUAGCUUCUACAUUUAGAUGUUUCAAAGUCUGUUCUGAUCCUUAAAUUUGACACUUCUCUUUAAUAUAAACAAAGCCCUUUUAGUAUUCUUUGGGAUUAGCUUACCACUUAAUAAAUUCCUUCCAACACUAUCUUCUGUGAGUCAACAAACAGCUUCCUCCUGUGAUUUGGGCCUGGCUAACAACAAGUUAGACUUCAGACGAAUAAUUACUAGGCUGAGGCAUUUUCCAGGUGGUACAUUCCCACUUUGAGGAAACUUGGUCAUUUUACUUUUGCAUUUAAGAUGUCCUUAGGCUGAAAAUAAAGUGUCAGUGUUUGAAAUGUCCUUCUCUGUAUCAUUGACUUGAUUUUUAGAUAAUAUUUCAGGCUGGACUGACACCAAAAGUGCUUUUCAAAAACACAUGAAAAGACCAAAAUUAUUUAAAUAAUUUACAAUAUAUGAAAGGUAGUAAAUUCUAGGCAAACAUUUUAACUAGGUUUUUAUGGAGAACUGA